CGAGUAACAAUAUGGAUCCUAUAAAUCCUUUCUCUCAAUUCACGUUUUCCUUUUUCUCCAAACCCUAAAGGAGAGCGUGCAUCCUUCUUCUGUCGGCGAUUAACAUCUCUCUUCGUUGUGACCUAAAUUCAUCUUCUUGAUUAUCUCAACAAGAUCCAAGAAUUGAAGAGUGGAUCAAUCUUUAUUUGUAAUUGAAACCCUAACUUUCAAAAAGCGAUUCUGAUUCCAUCGAUCUUGCCUAAAUCCCAUUCACGAUUUCUGAUUCAAGGUUUCUUUUCUAAACAAUUUUGAAAAUCGAAGGCAAUUUCUAAUCUCUCUAAUCGGAUCUUCUUCCGCUAUUGAAGGGCUUGAAGGAAUUUUCAUUUGAUGGUGUCUGAACGUGGAAUGCUUUUUGGUCGGACAACUGAGAUGUCGAUAGAAGCAAAGGAAAGAGUCUUUUAGCCUUCAGACGGUUAACAAGAAACUAUCUACUAUGAACAAGUUAUUAUUAGAGAAAAACGGUCACCUGCAAAAAUAAGUGUCUCAGCUUGUGUGUGAAUGGAUAUAUGCCCCAACAGUUGAAGGUCUGCAUGCAUUGAUUGACCAAACCGAGGUGUCGUUGGAUAAUACUCUAUAUUCAUAUCUUAUUUUAAAAUUGGGCAGAUACCUUGAGCGUUGUAUUGUUAAAUAACAUUUUCAUAUUGAGCUUAUAUUUUGAGUUUCUAUAUAUUCUGACUUAAGAGGUUGUUAUUGGUGAUCUAGCUAACUUGGAAGGUAGAUUAGAAGCAGCCCAAACUGAUAAGGUUUUUAAGUGUUUGUUUGGGAGAAAUUCCAUGUACACAUAUCGGGAGUCGUUUGUUCUUGGGAACACAGAUGUUAAUAUGUUCUAAAGAAUUGCAAUCACUUCUGCGAUGAAUUUUGCGACAGACUGGUGUCCCUAAACUUCCAGACUGGGUGAAUAGGUUAGGUAAUGCUGGCGACACUGCUCUAGAGAUAGUUGGAACAACUGCAUUCCGGCUUUUUGGGGUAAUCAAGUUUUUGACAGCAAGAUCAGAGGCUUCUGCAACUGCAACUGAUCUUUCCGUUGAUAUCCGCAUAGCUGAUGGGGUGGUCUGCUGCUUUGAUUGACAGCUCAAAAUGUGUUCAGGUCGGAAACUGUCCAACCUGUUUCUGAACAAAACAGGUUUUGGUCAAAACGAGUUAUGAAAUAAAUAAGUUUGGGGCAACCCAAGCCAUUGAAGAAUUUGAGUGGGCAGAUAUGCCAGAUUUGUGGUGACACCGUAGGCCUAACUGAAAGUGGUGAUACAUUUGUUGCUUGCAACAGGUGUGCCUUCCGAGUAUGAAAGCCAUGCUAUAAGUACGAAAGGAGAGACAAGAAUCAGGGAGCCCUCAGGUUGAUGAGGAUGAGGAGGAUGAUGAUGACUUGGACAUUGAGUUCAAUUAUGAUUAAGGGGACAACAAAGCUAGACACCAUUAACAGGGUGAUGAUGCUGACCUUUCUUCAUAUGCUAAACAUGAGUCUCAGCAACCAGUUCCACGUCUCACUAAUGGCCAACAAGAUACGGGUCAAAAGCUGACCAAAUUUUUGAACCUAGCCACUAUCGCUUGCUUCAAGGCUUUAACCUAGCCAUCUAAUUGUAAAUAUACAAUGAGGUGUCUGGUCAAAAUUUCAAGUGUAACAGACCAUUUGUCUGUCCUGGUGCUAAGCAUGCCCACUCGCUCCAUACAUCUACCCCAGGCAACCAGGUCAAGACCAUAUGAAGCUUUUCUACGCAAAAAAAAAUCACAUGAUUUUCUGUCAGCUUCUGAAAGUUAUGCCCUUUUUACUUGAAGGAAACCGCUACAGGAUUUGUUGCUGAACAUGAAGGAUUAUCCAAUGAAGUGAUAGAAAAGGCAAUUGAUGCAACUGAAACAACUUUUGUGAAUUUAGUGAAGAGAAUCCAGGCUUGAUAGACCCCAGUUUGUAUCAUUAGGUUCAUGCUCAUAUCAGUCUUCCUACUUUUUCAGGUAAUUUGAUACUAAGAUGGAAUGGAUAAGACUUCUGACUGCCCUUUCAAUCAGCAAGACAUUCAAAAGGUCAUUCUAAGAAAAGAACAAUGAAUGUAGAAGUAUGAAGAAUGAGUUAUUUGUAGGCAAGUUAAUGAAUAUUACUGCCUGCAAAACAUAUUUAAGAGUAAGAAAAGAACAUAUUUAAAGUGUUGCUUUAGAAGUUGGUACCUUAUGGAUGAAUUAUUAUGCUUUCAUAAUAUUUUGAUAUAUUAUUACUUAUGGUGUUGAGAAAUUAAUAUAUUAGAACACAUUUUUGAUA